AUUGAACGCUGGCGGCAUGCCUUACACAUGCAAGUCGAACGGUAACGGGCCUUCGGGUGCCGACGAGUGGCGAACGGGUGAGUAAUGCAUCGGAACGUACCUUUCAGUGGGGGAUAACGUAGCGAAAGUUACGCUAAUACCGCAUAUUCUGUGAGCAGGAAAGCAGGGGAUCGCAAGACCUUGCGCUGAUUGAGCGGCCGAUGUCAGAUUAGCUAGUUGGUGAGGUAAAGGCUCACCAAGGCGACGAUCUGUAGCGGGUCUGAGAGGAUGAUCCGCCACACUGGAACUGAGACACGGUCCAGACUCCUACGGGAGGCAGCAGUGGGGAAUUUUGGACAAUGGGGGCAACCCUGAUCCAGCCAUGUCGCGUGAGUGAAGAAGGCCUCGGUUGUAAG
rnacentral:rRNA from 1 species